UAAUUUAGUAAAUUUCAUACUAGUAAUAUGAGUGACUUAAGCCAAGUUGUAAAAAGGAAUAGAUUUCACUCUGCAUCCUCUAAAUUCCAUCUGUUCAACUGGCUGCUCUACAGCUAAGUGAAUUAAUUUUAAACUUGGAUGGAUUGGGCCAUAUGAUAUUAGAGUUUAGGUAAUAGAACGGACUUCAGAGGACAUCUAGUCCAAUAGUCCAAUACUUUGGUUUUACAGCUGAGGAAACUGAGACCUAACAUUUCACUGUCAUAUAGUGGAGAGAACAGUGAUUGAAGUCAAAUCCUACCUCUGAUACAUAUACUGUGUGAUGCUGGACGAAUAACUUCUUUGGGCCUCAGUUUCUUCACCUGUAAAAUGAGAAAGUUGGACUAAAUUUUAAAAAUUCAUAUUUUCUUAUUAAUUUUUAUUUGGUUGUUUAGAGUGGCAAAAUAAGUAGAAAAAAUAUUCUCUACAAGUUCUGUUUCCAGGCCCCAAGCAAAUGAUGAAAACAACCAUUUGUUCUUAAAAUUCUCAAGCACAAAAUAAUUAAACUUAAUUAAAAGCAUUUAUUAAAUACCUGCUAUAUGCAAGGAAGGGACUAUAUGAGGCCUUGGAAAUAGAGACAAAAAAAGAAUAAAAGAAAUUGCCUCUGCCCUCAAAAAGCUUAGAUUCGAUUGGAAUUCAGACUGUUCCUACUAGAGUUCCAUAUUAGGAAGUAUAAAUCCUUGGUUUCUCUUCAUAUUUUUAGGAUUUGGUUUGCUUCCAUAACUACAUCAAGAAAGUAAUCCAACUAAUGCUACUGAAAUAAAAAUAUUUGGUAUUCUGUUAUCCUUAGAAUCAAACCGAUGUUCUGGCAGCUCAUGCAGAUUGUCUGCAUAGUUAUGCUAAAAAUUGCUAUGUAUUGUCCCUACUUUAAGUAUGGUAAGUAGAGUAAGAUUUAAGCUACAAAAGAAUCAAAAUCCUAUGUGAGUCUAUCAGUAGCACAUUUAACAUUUAUUGCAACUUCCUCUUUAAGUUUGGACUUUGUUUAUUUUGGAUGGGGGUUAUAUUGUGACCUAGGAUGUUGUUAACAGACACUAUUUGCUUUUUUCAUAGCUCUCCAAGACAUUUCAAGAAGCAUGAAAAGUCUCACUUCAUUUUCAUGAAAGAAUUAGUGUUGAUUUGAAGAUUGGAUCUUCACAACCAUAUUCACUGUACUUGCCACCUUAUUAUACAAAGAUCCUGCUAUAAACUGAGAUUCUUCCUUUGACUACACAAGCAACAGCUGUCUAGCUUCCUGCGCAGUACUGGAUCUAAUGCCUCUACAGAAAUCUAGGUCAAAACACUUGGAAUGCAUGAAUAUCAAACAGAGUUUUCAAAACAGCAAAUGAAUACAUCUUUAACUGGUGACAUUUUCCCGUAGCAUAUGGCUGCAAGCUCAGGGGACUGCAUGCUUUUUUGAUGAAUAUGUUCCGUCAAAAACUAAGGGAUGGCAGUGGGCUUAUGUCACCUUCUGUUUUGCCUUAUGAAAUGAUAAUGCAAACGCAUAGCUAGAUAUCAUGAUCACAAGAAUUUUACCUUCAGUCUUAUUCUAAAGUUACAUUGCACCUCCUGGUUGAAUUGCUAAGGCUUUGGUCAUGUUCUGGUAUACAGGAUGCCUGUCAACGAUGCAGUUGGAGAAAAAAAAAGUUGCCUUUGUAUGACUAGUGGCAAGUAAAAUAACUGACCUAGAAAACAGAAGACAGAAAUUUUGGGAGAGAUUCUUCCACAUCAGACAUAUGCAGUUAAAAAGACUUGAUGUGAUGCCACUUGGGAAAUUCAUUCUUAAUUCAUUGAUUCAUAUGAGUGAGGGAAACAAAGUAAAAGAGAACAAAUCAAUAGAACUGUGCUAUGGUACCAACUGUGCCACUAACUAACUAGCACUAUAACGUUGGGCAAGUCCCCUGAGCAUGUUUUCUAAUCUGGAAAAUGAAGGGGACAAGAUCUAGAUCUUGAAGACCAAACUUUAGAGCGAAAUUGGGUAGAACUUGCUCAUUUUAAUAGGAAAAAAGAAACAAAACCCUGGCAUCCAGAAUGGAUGAAUUUUCUGCUCAAGGUUAUACAGCUGGUUCAAUUAAAAAGAAAUAUAGCCAAGAUUAGAAGUGA